ensembl:lncRNA
CGGCCGCCGGGCGCCUUGGAAGGCUCUCGCCAUUUCCUGCGUUCUGCAGGAGCACUAAUUGAAAAUUUGGGUGGCCUUGCUUAUUUAUUUUUCUGGAACGCAGUGGGUUAUAUUUUCAUGGCAUUUUCUCAGCAGUGCGGCGUUUCCAUUUCAAACUACAACAAUGAGAAGAAAAGCCAGUCGCCGUGAGCGGCCGACGCGCGGAGGGCCCCGCUCUGGCUGUGGUCCUGCGGCUGUACUAACUAGAUCCAAGCCCGCAGACGCCGCUCCUUCGGGAAACUAAAAGACAAGUUUACUUCCUUUUAGAAGAAGAGAAAACACAGGGAAAUGCUCCGUUACCGUGACAAGUGAAGGCUAAACAAGAGUGGGCCGGAUCUGCUUCAUCUCUUAAUCCUGGAGCUCCUGCCCUUGUUGUAUACCCGUCUCUGCCCCAGUGUGACUGACGGAUGUGGUAAUGAGACCUCAGUUUACCUCAAAAUGGAAGAGAAGACCUUCCCGUGGAGCAGAGGUCACCAUGUCUGUGAAUUGUCCAGCUUUAUUUGGAGCAAUUGAUUUUGAGAAAUUAAAACAAAACUUCAACACCCAAAUUAAUACUAUUAAGAUUAGAAAUACUUUUCAGCAUGGCUGACUCCUCCCCGACAUGGCUGUGAAAUAGCAAACCUAAAAUGUUUUUCCAAGAAAUGUAUUUCAGAGAAGAAACAAGAGCAAACCGCUUCUCCUGACUUGCCCUCUCCUGGUGCAGCCGGGAGCUGCCCUUUCACGUCAGUGGCGAUGCAGCACCGCAGAGAAUGUUUUACACUUGGUGCACAGACAAAACUCGCAGCUCAAUGUAGGCAUCGCCCAAAGGAACUUAAUGCCCCAAAUUUCGAAACUAUGCCUAAUAACAACACGCAGUGUGGGCUGCAGGGUUUACAUCACAGAGGAGAGGCCGGUGUCAACAGAGGCCCUGGGAAGGGACAGGAUUGCCGAAUGGUUCGUACAAAACAAAACACACAAGCCUAAGUAUGAGCUAUCUUCCCAUCUGCUUUCUCUUGAAACUUAACAACUUAGACAGAAACCUGGGAUAUGUACAGUGUGGAUAACAGAAUUCUUGGAUCUAUGUAUUGGCUUUCUAUGUCUGACAUUCGACUGUAAACAAGUGACAACUCACCUGAUCUGGAUUAGUUUUUCCAAAGCAUGGGCAAAAUACACCAGGUUCCUGAUCUCUUUUUCUUGAGCACGUGAGUUGGUUCUUCUGCACAUUUCCUUGUAACAGAAGCACAAAGAAGUGAUGUUCUAAGCCAGCGAGGAGCCAACUGGCUCUCCAGGACCAUGUUUGCCAGUGCAGACGGCCACCUCAGCCGAGCCCGGAGAGAGGGCGCCCUGUGGCCGGGAAGCCCACACCCUCCCAGUGGUUCUCCAGUUACAGUCCUGCUUGCAGAAGCAGAAGAGCUGUUGAAAGCAAAACACCAGUAAACGAUCUUCCUAUGAUGACCGGUUCAGCCACAAAAGAGAAGUGUGUUAAUCAGAGAAGUUUUUAAAAAUUAGAACGCCGCUGUUGGCAUUUUUUCACAUGGAAUUCUGCUGAAGACCUCAAUUUACAGAAAAGAUCAGAGAUGUGGGGAAAUAAAUACUGAAGCCAUGACCGAGGAGGCAGGACGGUGAUGCAAGGAGGGGUGAAAUGAGGCUAAGAUGAAGCAAACUGAGCAUCUGAGGCCCUUGAGCCUCGAAAUCCACCCGCAACACCGCCAUUGGGCAGGGACAUCUCCUUUCCCAUUCCCUACAUGCCACCCUCCUCGGUAGUUCCCAUCUCUGAGUUUAAUUUUUCAGUCUUUUUUUUAUAGUGUGUGUGUGUGUGUGUGUGUGUGUGUCUGAAUAUAUGUGUGUGUAAAUGUACACACAUGUGGCUAUGUGUAUGGGAGGGUAUUGUGUGUGUUCAUGAGUGUGUAGCUGGGGUGUAUGUUUGCAGUGUGCAUUGACAAGCAGGUGUGUCUGCGUGCAUGUGUGCUUGUGUGUGUAGUGAGCAGUGGUAGUCAGUUGCUACUGGUGAAAAAGAAAAGGCUGGGGCCGGGGAUUUAGCUCAGUGGUUCCACCGCCUGCCUCGAAAGCUCAAGGACCCAAGUUCAAUCCCCGGUACCAAAAAAAGAAAAAAGAAAAGACUGGUUUCAUCAGGACCAUUUGCCCUGUAAGGAAGGAGGGGCACAAACAGGAAAGGGGGAGGAGAGGGAAUAAGGGAGGAACAAGGAGGAACUUGUCAGGUUGUUGGCUCAAUUUUCUUUUCUCUGUCAACCUGCACAUUUUUCUUUUGCUUUCAUUCUUUCCUUUUUCUUUGUCUUUCUUUCCCUUUUUCUUUAAAAUUCACCUGUUGUCAGUCAUUUUACCGUGGCCUGGAAUUGACUUAGGGGACAUCCGUAACCAGAGCACAUGGAGGUGCUGACACUGUGGUCUCCCACAGAUUUGUGCGCAUUAAGGAAGGAUUUCCCUUCUGAGUGUUUCUCAGAAAUUGAAGAUUAUUAUUAAUAGGGAGUGUUAAUAGUGUUACAGAUAUGCUGAGAAAAGAAUGAAUCAGUUUUUUCAUUGAUCAGAGUUCACUGAUCAGAAUCACUAAAUUUUCCAUAUUUCAUUUUUAAGUAAGUCAAUUGCUAAGAAUGUAGAAAAGUAGUUCAUUAAAUGUUUUACUUCAAAUAAUGCUUCCAUAAUGAGAAAUUUUAAUUUACACUUAAAAUAUAAGAGACCUUAGGUUUAUUGAAGUUAAUUUGGUGUUGCUAUUUUUUUAUAUGCUAAGAAAACAUGAAAUCUUUUUGGAUAGAAUAACUUCAAUUCUGUGGCUGAACUUAUGCAUUCUAUUAUCAUAUUCAUAAGAAAUGUCAGUAUUCUAAAUUAUUUGGGUUUAUUAAGUGUGUAGUUAUUAGAUUCUUAGUCAGGGGUGCAUAGUUUCAAAAACAUUUGAAUAAUUUGUCAUUGUCAUCUUUCAAAAAUACUUAUAUGUGUAUACUUAUCCUCAUGUGAAGUUACAAAUGUAACUUUCUGUAUUUUAAUAGCUAUAUCAAUAACGCAUCUGCAAAUGUACACAUAGAAUGUGAAUUUUAAUAUAUUCCCAAUAUGCAUAAUAUCACAUCAAAAAUUGGAAGGUGAACAGCUCAUGGGGCAGUUACCGUGUUGAAGUAGUGAGUUUAUAUUUGUUUCUGUUGUAAAAAAGAUUGGUUGAAAAUAGCCUUCUUUCCAGAACAAUUCCUAGAGCACUUGAUUACCCUAAACCUAGCCAGGAUAAUGGGACUUUAUUUGGUUUCACUCAAAUCUUUCUAAUAUAAAUGUGUGCUUUUAAAGAAAAGCAGAUUCUUCAGAGUUUGAGUGGUUUUGUUCUUUUUGUUAAAGAUUUUCCUCCAAGAGACUUUCUUGGGCAGCUGAUCUGUAUCAGGCCUCCUGGUGAACCCUGACCAAACAACACCUGUGCACCCAAAAAAACAAAUAAAAACGAGGACCAACAAGAGGUUUCAUUUAUUCGCCUCACCUCCCACUACCCAAAAUACAUUUUUCUUCUGGAAAAUUAAUAUGGCAAUGAUAAUAAUUAAUUAUUAUAUCUUUCCCUUAAUGGCAUACUAGCUUAAUUUAUUAAGAAAGCAAGAGAUAAUAUGUAGAGA